rnacentral:rRNA from 1 species
AGUGAACGCUGGCGGUAGGCCUAACACAUGCAAGUCGAACGGCAGCACAGUAAGAGCUUGCUCUUACGGGUGGCGAGUGGCGGACGGGUGAGGAAUACAUCGUAAUCUACUUUUUCGUGGGGGAUAACGUAGGGAAACUUACGCUAAUACCGCAUACGACCUACGGGUGAAAGCAGUGGAUCUUCGGACUUUGCGCGAUUGAAUGAGCCGAUGUCGGAUUAGCUAGUUGGCGGGGUAAAGGCCCACCAAGGCGACGAUCCGUAGCUGGUCUGAGAGGAUGAUCGGCCACACUGGACCGGAGACACGGUCCAGACUCCUACGGGGGGCAGCAGUGGGGAAUAUUGGACAAUGGGCGCAAGCCUGAUCCAGCCAUACCGCGUGGGUGAGGAAGGCCUUCGGGUUGUAAAGCCCUUUUGUUGGGAAAGAAAAGCAGCAGGUUAAUACCCCGCUGUUCUGACGGUACCCAAAGAAUAAGCACCGGCUAACUUCGUG